AAGAAGCUAUUUCAGGAUGUUUCUGAAAAUGCUCUUUAGGCUCCAGAGAAAAAUAUCAGAAAAUAUUAAAAACCUAAGAAAACAUGUCUAUGAGAACUGGAAGGAAUGAGGAUCUGCACCUUUCAUUUACAAAGAAUCAACCUAGACCCUUCAUAUAACAGAAGCAAGAUAAUGUGGAUGCAUAAUGCAUCUUGGAAUUCCAUGACUCAUGCUGACACGCCAUAAUAUUAAGAAGAAAGAGAGAAGGUCAUCGUGCAAUGUAUUGCUGUCAGAGGUCUUCUCGUUGAAGGUGGAAGAGCUCAUGGGAGUUUGGCAGAAGACCCAACUCUGCAAUAGCAUCUUUCUCUGGGUUCGGACUCAGCACUUUUGGAUGAUCAUUUGCGAAUGCAUAUAAUUUUUAUGGUUUCUAUUUUUGUUUUUGUAAUGAAUAUGAAUUAAUUCUAUAGUUAGGAAAACUAAUAGCAACUUUUAUAAUUUGGAACCCUGAGAAUAUCUUGAUGAUAUAAUAGUAUGUUUUAAGAUCAUUAUUUGGACUUCUUAGCCUAGAAAGAUUUGGAACUGAAAUACUGUUUAACCUUAUAUAAACUUUUUUAUAGAAAAUGGGAAAAUGAUUUCAUUUCUUAUGUAAUAAAAUAUCAGUAUGCUACAACUACUAAAAUUUCUAAUGUAUUAUGAUUAUUAAUAACCUUAUUAUCUUAGAUUAAAAUAGAAGAAGAGCCCAUAGUUAUUUAGUGAUUAUUGUUAAAGCAAAAUUGGUGCUUUUAUCAUUCCCUAGAAAGUGGAUAGAACUUAAGUUUUCUCCAUACCUACCUUAUCUUUGAGAAUCCCACGUGUAUCUGUAGGUCAGAGCACGUGCUCUAGUUCACAUAUGGUGGCUUCCAUCUUGAUUUGAAUAUCAACUUGACUAGAUGAAGGAAAAUUUCAAAUACCACAGUGAUGCAUUAGUAUUGAAUUGCUUCAGUCGGUAUUAGACUUAUUUUUCUGCCAUAGGGGACAUUUUAGACAGUUUUACUGUUGAUGGCUAUAAGUGGGAUGAUUCAGAAUAGAUACAUAUAUGGACAGAGUAGCAAAGGAUCCAUCCUUAGUGUAUCUUCCCAAUAUGCAGGAUUCCAAAGGAUAAGAAAAGACUUGGAACGAAUAUCAAGCCUUCCUUUUUCUCUUCCAAAGCCUGAAUUCUCUUAUCUACUCUUGUAAAUCAAAGCCUCAGAUUCUUUGACCACUAUCCUCUUGAGUCUUGUACCUUCAGCAAUAAUCCUUUGGGACCCAGGCAGAGAAAGCAUCCACGGAUCUGUAUCCUAUGAGCUUGAGUUGUGAAAUGUAGGUAUACUGGGGUCUCAAGCUCAUAGACAGCAAUGGUAGGACCUUUCAGCGUACAACACCAGGGCCGACUUUCCACAUACACAUCCUUCUACCUAUCUUUUUGGAUGCUACUAUUUCUCUGGGGAGUGCUGAGUAUGUAACCUGACUAUGAAAGGACCAUCUUAUGAACUCUUAUUUUAGAUGAUGGCUUAAGAUAGUACUUCCCUACUCUCUUAUAACAGAAGACAGAUGAAACAAAGUCAAUGAACUAGGUUUAUUAACUAAAUUAUGAUAACUCCAUAUGCAACUUUAUGGGAUAUUCCUGAAUAUUAAAUAUGAAAUUUGCAAUGAAAUUAUAUGUAUUAAGAUCUAAGUAAAAACAAUUUGUAUACAGAUGAAAUUUUGUUUUACAUAUUUUGUUGUUUUGUUUUACUGAGUCUGUUUAAUCAGAAUCUAAGAAACAGACC